UUUUUUUUUUUUUUUGAGAUGGCUUCUCGCUCUGUCGCCCAGGCUGGAGUGCACUAGCACAAACUUGCCUCACUGCAAACUCCACCUCCCAGGUUCACGCCAUUCUCCUGCCUCAGCCUCCUGAGUAGCUGGGACUACAGGCACCAGCCACCACGCCUGGCUAAUUUUUUGUAUUUUUAGUAGAGACGGGGUUUCACCAUGUUAGCCAGGAUGGUCUCAAUCUCCUGACCUCGUGAUCUGCCCACCCUCGACCUCCCAAAGUGCUGGGAUUACAGGCAUGAGCCACCACGCCUGGCCGAUUGCAGCACAUUUCAAAAGUUAUAGCUAAGCCAGUGACUUUUCUUGUCAAGUUGCAGAUUUGUAAAUAAAUGAGUCGUUUGCCUCUGUCAGUGUCAACAUUAGCUGACAUAAUUAGUGAAUCCAGUUUCAGGUACUUAUGAAAAGUGGUGUUAUCAAGCAAAAAGGGAUUGCUGCCUGAUGCACUAGAAGUCAAUGCAAUGACUCUGGGUUUUUGACAAAAGAGAAAGCUUUAUAUUGCAACAGGGGUCAAGCUCAAACCUGUCUCCCUGAGAUGGCUUUAAGGCAGGGCGUAAUUUUAUUAGAAAAGGUUUAGGGGUGAAUUUUGGGAUUGUAGGUGAUUGGUGAAAGGAAAGGGGAGGCCUAGAAAGUCCUCUGGCUUGCACAGUUUUCUCUUCAUGCUGCCUCAUGGGUCCCAUGAGAAAAUUUCAGGGGAUUAAUAUGAAACACAUGGUAGAAAUUCAGGCCGUGACUUCAGCAAGCUCACUGUGUGCAAACUCCAGUUGGCCAUGGUGCUUCCAACUGAUUUCUGCUAGUUUUACUCACAAGCAGAGGGAGUUUCAGCAUUUGAGCAAGUUGUUUCUUACCUUGCAAACUCAAGAAUUUCUGUUAGUUACUGGCUUGUUUAAUUCUUUAGGGCACAAUUUCAGUGAUAAUAAACUGUGGGAGGUUGACUACACCCCCCUAUUCCCUACACCUUUCUCCUUUGUCCACAUCCACAGAGAAAAGAAAUUGAGAAAACGAAACACUCACUUUCCUACUAAGAGCAGGAGGAGGCAGCCAAAUGCCUAAGCAGAUGGGGUGGGUCCCCGGUGAAACCCCACCCCCAAGCUGAAGAGAGUUUAAAGCCUGAAAGCCAAGCUACAAGUUAAAUCCUUGAAUGGGAUUGAGAACUUGUCUUCCUGUUUGGUGUGCUUUCCUCUGAUUGAUCCCCACCCUUCACCUAUUUUACAUAUACCUGUCCUUUCCUAACUGAUUUUCUGCACUGUCAUGCCCACCUUUGAGUAGUGUCUUUGCUUUAACCUUUUUUGCACACUCAUAAACCAAUCGACACAUACUCCCCAUUCUGAGUCCAUAAAAAGCCCCAGACCCAAUGACAUGGGGGACUUUACCACCUUCUGGUAGACAGACCACCCCUGCAUCCCCUCUGCCCUGAAAGCUGUUUUUUGGUCAAAAAAAUUCUUCUCCACCACCCUCACCCUUCAGUGCUCAGCACAUCCUCAUUCACUUUGGGUGUGGGACAAGAACUCAGGAACUGGUAUACAAGCCAGACCUGGCCCAGGGGGACCAACUGGGCAAGGCUCCUCCAGUAGCAGGUAGUGUGCCCCAAGUAAGGCCUCCAGCAUCACCAGCCAGAGGUCCCCGACUGGCAACGGAACCAAGAAAAAUCCUGCAUCACUACUCUCCUCUGUAACCAUCAGUGGUCAAGUAAGAUAGUUCUGACCAAUGAGACAUAAGCAGAAAUCUGUUGAGGGCUUUUAGGAGAGCUUUUCCUGUCCUUUUAUCAGCAGAGUCAGUGGCUCAGACACUAACUCUUCUUCCUCCUUCAAAUGUUGAUGUAAUGUCUGGAGACAAAACAGCCAUUUUGCAACCAUGAGGCAAUAAGUGUAAGGACCAAAAGCCAACAAGCAAAAAAUGAUAGGAAACACCUGGGUUUU
ensembl:lncRNA